rnacentral:rRNA from 1 species
ACCUGAGCACAUUCAGCCUUGUCUCACUUUGGCUGCUAAGCAGGGUCAGCCCUGAUGAGUACCUGGAUGGGAGACCACCAAGAAAUAUCAGGUAUCUCCAGAUA